rnacentral:rRNA from 1 species
CGGACGGGUGAGUAACGCGUGAGAAUCUGGCCUCAGGUCUGGGACAACCACUGGAAACGGUGGCUAAUACCGGAUGUGCCGAAAGGUGAAAGGUUAACUGCCUGAAGAUGAGCUCGCGUCUGAUUAGCUAGUUGGAAGUGUAAUGGACUCCCAAGGCGACGAUCAGUAGCUGGUCUGAGAGGACGAUCAGCCACACUGGGACUGAGACACGGCCCAGACUCCUACGGGAGGCAGCAGUGGGGAAUUUUCCGCAAUGGGCGAAAGCCUGACGGAGCAAUACCGCGUGAGGGAGGAAGGCUCUUGGGUCGUAAACCUCUUUUCUCAGGGAAGAACAAAAUGACGGUACCUGAGGAAUAAGCAUCGGCUAACUCCGUGCCAGCAGCCGCGGUAAUACGGAGGAUGCAAGCGUUAUCCGGAAUGAUUGGGCGUAAAGCGUCCGCAGGUGGCUAUGUAAGUCUGCUGUUAAAGAGUCUAGCUCAACUAGAUAAGAGCAGUGGAAACUACAAGGCUAGAGUACGUUCGGGGCAGAGGGAAUUCCUGGUGUAGCGGUGAAAUGCGUAGAGAUCAGGAAGAACACCGGUGGCGAAGGCGCUCUGCUAGGCCGUAACUGACACUGAGGGACGAAAGCUAGGGGAGCGAAUGGGAUUAGAUACCCCAGUAGUC